AUUCUUACUUUGGUAGAAUAUAUACUAAAAUUGGAGUGACAUAGAGAAGAUUAGCAUGGCCCUGCACAAGGAGAACCUGCAAAUUUAAGAAGCAUUCCAUAUUUUU